GAUGAACGCUGGCGGCGUGCUUAACACAUGCAAGUCGAACGGGAAAUAUUUCAUUGAGACUUCGGUGGAUUUGAUCUAUUUCUAGUGGCGGACGGGUGAGUAACGCGUGGGUAACCUGCCUUAUACAGGGGGAUAACAGUCAGAAAUGGCUGCUAAUACCGCAUAAGCGCACAGAGCUGCAUGGCUCAGUGUGAAAAACUCCGGUGGUAUAAGAUGGACCCGCGUUGGAUUAGCUGGUUGGUGGGGUAACGGCCCACCAAGGCGACGAUCCAUAGCCGGCCUGAGAGGGUGAACGGCCACAUUGGGACUGAGACACGGCCCAGACUCCUACGGGAGGCAGCAGUGGGGAAUAUUGCACAAUGGGGGAAACCCUGAUGCAGCGACGCCGCGUGAAGGAAGAAGUAUCUCGGUAUGUAAACUUCUAUCAGCAGGGAAGAUAGUGACGGUACCUGACUAAGAAGCC
rnacentral:rRNA from 1 species